GAUGAACGCUGGCGGCGUGCCUAAUACAUGCAAGUCGAGCGAACGGACGAGAAGCUUGCUUUUCUGAUGUUAGCGGCGGACGGGUGAGUAACACGUGGAUAACCUACCUAUAAGACUGGGAUAACUUCGGGAAACCGGAGCUAAUACCGGAUAAUAUUUUGAACCGCAUGGUUCAAAAGUGAAAGACGGUCUUGCUGUCACUUAUAGAUGGAUCCGCGCUGCAUUAGCUAGUUGGUAAGGUAACGGCUUACCAAGGCAACGAUGCAUAGCCGACCUGAGAGGGUGAUCGGCCACACUGGAACUGAGACACGGUCCAGACUCCUACGGGAGGCAGCAGUAGGGAAUCUUCCGCAAUGGGCGAAAGCCUGACGGAGCAACGCCGCGUGAGUGAUGAAGGUCUUCGGAUCGUAAAACUCUGUUAUUAUGGAAGAACAUAUGUGUAAGUAACUGUGCACAUCUUGACGGUACCUAAUCAGAAAGCCACGGCUAACUACGUG
rnacentral:rRNA from 1 species